AGAAGCAGAGAUUGGAAGGAGGAGCAGGGGGCCUGCCCUCCACCCCCACACUCUGGGCCCGAGACUCCUCGCUCCUCCUCGCCUCGCCUCGCCUCGAGUCUCUGGCUCCGACCUCUCUACUCCCUUGUUUCUGACCUGUGCUCCGUGGUGUCUCUGAUCUCCCCCUGCCGCCAGGGGAAAGGAGGAACAUCCCUCCCAGGACUCACUCACACCUAUUCUCCAACUCUGCCUACCUGCUCAAUUCACCUGAUGCUCUGCCAGUGGAUUGCUGAUGUCUCUACAUUGAUUCAGAUUUGCACCCACAUCUGAAAAUGGUCAGCAGGCAGGGACCCUCUGUCACCACAGGUGGAGGAAGAGGAGAUGAAAGAGCCUUGUCUGACACCCUGGAGACUGCAAGAAGGCCCUUGCCAGAUGUGGGCCCCUCCAUCUUGGACUUCCCAGCUAGCCUCCAGAACUGGAAACUACCCAGACUGUGUCCUCUCCCUCUUACUCUCCUAAAGGAAGACAAGGAAGACAAUGACAAAUGGCGUUUGCAGCAAAGCAACACCAACAGCCAACUUGAUGCUCAAGAGAGAACGCUAUGCCUCUUCCUCAUGGUUUCCAGUGCUCUACACAUUCUGAGAAACUUUUCUGGUAAUAAACUAUAGAAACAAUGAGACUGUGCCCAUGGGAGAGACCCCAUCUCUACAAAAAAUACAAAAAUUAGCCAGGCGUAGUGGUGUGCACCUGGAUUCCCCAGCUACUUGGAAGGCUGAGAUGGGAAGAUCACUUGAGCCCCGGAGGUUGAGACUGCAGUGCGCCAUGAUCACGCCACUGUACUUCAGCCUCAGUGACAAAGCGAAAGCCUGUUUCAAAAAAAAAAAAAAGACAGAGAGAAACGGGCUGGGGACGGUGGUUCACACCUGUAAUCCCCGCACUUUGGAAGGCCGAGGCAGGUGGAUCACUUGAGAUCAGGAGUUCGAGACCAGCCUGGCCAACAUGGUGAAACCCCGUCUCUACUAAAAAUACAAAAAUGAGCAAGGCAUGGUGGUGGAUGCCUAUAAUCCCAGCUACUCAGAAGGCCGAGGUGGGAGAAUCACUUGAAUCCCAGGAGACAGAGGUUGCAGUGAGCCGAGAUCGCGCCACUGCACUCCAGUUUGGGCAACAGAAUGAGGCUCCAUCUCAAGAAACAGAAAAAGGGAAAUGAUCCCUGAAAGUACACUCUUUUGUUGUAGUUUUUAUUUGCAUUUUGCUAACGAUUAGUGAUGUUGAGCACCUUUUCAUGUGUUUACUGGCUAUUUGUUUUCUUUUUUUUUUUUUUUUUUUGGAGCGAUACCUAUUCAAGUCCUUUGUUCAUUUUUGGGUUGCUUGGUUUUUGUUGUUGGUGUUGAGUUUUUUAGGAGCUGCCUCUAUAUCCUGGAUAUCAAUUCCUUAUCAGAUAUAUAACUUGCAAAUAUUUUCUCCCAUUCUGCCAAUUACCUUUUGAAUUUGUUGAUAUUGGUUUUUUGAUGCACAAAGUUCUUAAGUUUUCAUCA
rnacentral:lncRNA from 1 species